CCCACAGAGGACUCCCCAGUGUGAAUACUGAUACCAGUGCCAGCAUAUUCUGUGUGAACCUUUGCAACGGGCAAGAUUCACUGAGAGACCUUUAGGUGUUUGCUGUCAUACAGAAUGCUGAAAAGAAUGUGAGUGGAAAUACCUCUAUGAGAUCCUGAUUGCAGUUUUUAGGAUUUGAAUUGUAUAACUAUGCAUGUGCUCUUGUCAAAAAGGAAGACCAUGUCAGUGUGCAAAAUGGAAGGAAAGUCCAUUCUGUUACUGGACAACAGAUUGAUUUGUCCCCAGGAGGUGCCAGUCUGAACAGGCUGAUGUUGGGGAUCUCCUGACCUCCCAAGUGAGACCACAGCUAUCUACAAACCAAGAGAAUUGGCCUCUGAGUGGAACCUACCUGCUGGGUCCUUGACCUUAUACUUCUCCAACUUCAUAACCGAGAAAUAAAUGCUUGUUUUUUCAAGCAUCCAAUCUGGUAACUAAAUAUGGUGGUCCCAGAAGCCCAUAUUCAUAGUUUGCUGAUUAUUUACAUUGCUUCCUCCCUUUGAAAAAGCUGUUUCCCCUGAAACUACUCUGAUAAAAUGGUAUUCACCCUCUAAAAUGUAGCUGAAAUAUUAACUUCUUUGUGAAGUACUUUCUAAUACCAUUACCUCUUA